rnacentral:rRNA from 1 species
UACGAAGGGGGCUAGCGUUGCUCGGAAUUACUGGGCGUAAAGCGUGCGCAGGCGGUGAUGUAAGACAGUUGUGAAAUCCCCGGGCUCAACCUGGGAACUGCAUCUGUGACUGCAUUGCUGGAGUGCGGCAGAGGGGGAUGGAAUUCCGCGUGUAGCAGUGAAAUGCGUAGAUAUGCGGAGGAACACCGAUGGCGAAGGCAAUCCCCUGGGCCUGCACUGACGCUCAUGCACGAAAGCGUGGGGAGCGAACAGG